UACAGAGGGGGCGAGCGUUGUUCGGAAUUACUGGGCGUAAAGGGCGCGUAGGCGGCCUCUUAAGUCGAACGUGAAAUCCCCGGGCUCAACCCGGGAACUGCGUCCGAUACUGGGAGGCUUGAAUCCGGGAGAGGGAUGUGGAAUUCCAGGUGUAGCGGUGAAAUGCGUAGAUAUCUGGAGGAACACCGGUGGCGAAGGCGGCAUCCUGGACCGAGAUUGACGCUGAGGAGCGAAAGCUAGGGGAGCAAACGGG
rnacentral:rRNA from 1 species